rnacentral:rRNA from 1 species
GUCGAGCGAUGAGAUCACUUCGGUGAAGGAUUAGCGGCGAACGGGUGAGGAACACGUGAAGAAUCUGCCUUCAACUCUGGGAUAACUCCGGGAAACCGGGGCUAAUACCGGAUAUGAGCCUUGAUCGCAUGAUCGGGGCUGGAAAGUUUUUCGGUUGAAGAUGACUUCGCGGCCUAUCAGCUUGUUGGUGAGGUAAUGGCUCACCAAGGCGACGGCGGGUAGCCGGCCUGAGAGGGCGACCGGCCACACUGGGACUGAGACACGGCCCAGACUCCUACGGGAGGCAGCAGUGGGGAAUAUUGGGCAAUGGAGGAAACUCUGACCCAGCGACGCCGCGUGCGGGAUGAAGGCCUUCGGGUUGUAAACCGCUUUCAGCAGGGAAUAAGCGCAAGUGAAGGUACCUGCAGAAGAAGCACCGGCUAACUAUGUGCCAGCAGCCGCGGUAAUACAUAGGGUGCAAGCGUUGUCCGGAAUUAUUGGGCGUAAAGAGCUCGUAGGUGGUUUGUUACGUCGGUUGUGAAAUUCAGGGGCUCAACCCCUGACUUGCAGCCGAUACGGGCAAGCUAGAGUUUGG